rnacentral:rRNA from 1 species
CAUUUAUUGGGACUUAACUGGCCCUCUAAACUUAUACAACUUUCAGCAACGGAUCUCUUGGCUCUCGCAUCGAUGAAGAACGCAGCGAAAUGCGAUAAGUAAUGUGAAUUGCAGAAUUCAGUGAAUCAUCGAAUCUUUGAACGCACCUUGCGCCCCUUGGUAUUCCGAGGGGCAUGCCUGUUUGAGUGUCAUUAAAUUCUCAACCUCACAAGUUUUGUAGCUUCUGAGGCUUGGAUUGUGGAGGCUUGCUGGCAUCUAAGAUGCAUUUGGCUCCUCUUAAAAGCAUUAGUAGAAACCAAUUGUUGGACUACCUUUGGUGUGAUAAUUAUCUACGCCUUGGUGUUCUAUCUGACAAAAGGGUGUCUUUGGGGGGGAUAGAGGCAAAAGAGAGUUUGCUCUGUCUGUUUUAACUGUCAAAGAGGCUUUGGGGGGUGUCUGCUCUCUAACUGUCUGUUUGACGGACAACUAAUUGAUUUGUUGACCUCAAAUCAGGUAGG